GCACCCCAGAGCCUGCUGCUGGGCUUCAGCUCCCGCUCCUAUCGGAGGUGCGAUGUGAGCAGAACGAGUGCCCUAGUGAGCCUGCUGAGUAUCUCGGGAGCGAAUCGCGUUUGUGAAGCUGCAUCCAACUGGGCUGAGGCACGGGGCGCUGCUCGAGGCAGGAUUGCCAGAGCUAGAAUUAAAGUGCUGAUAGCUGCGGGGCGAACCAACUGCAAG